rnacentral:rRNA from 1 species
UAGGGAAUCUUCCACAAUGGACGCAAGUCUGAUGGAGCAACGCCGCGUGAGUGAAGAAGGUUUUCGGACCGUAAAGCUCUGUUGUUGGUGAAGAAGGAUAGAGGUAGUAACUGGCCUUUAUUUGACGGUAAUCAACCAGAAAGUCACGGCUAACUACGUGCCAGCAGCCGCGGUAAUACGUAGGUGGCAAGCGUUGUCCGGAUUUAUUGGGCGUAAAGCGAGCGCAGGCGGAAGAAUAAGUCUGAUGUGAAAGCCCUCGGCUUAACCGAGGAAUUGCAUCGGAAACUGUUUUCUUGAGUGCAGAAGAGGAGAGUAGAACUCCAUGUGUAGCGGUGGAAUGCGUAGAUAUAUGGAAGAAUACCAGUGGCGAAGGCGGCUCUCUGGUCUGCAACUGACGCUGAGGCUCGAAAGCAUGGGUAGCGAACAGGAUUAGAUACCCUGGUAGUCCAUGCCGUAAACGAUGAGUGCUAAGUGUUGGGAGGCUUCCGCCUCUCAGUGCUGCAGCUAACGCAUUAAGCACUCCGCCUGGGGAGUACGACCGCAAGG